AUUUCAUUGGUUAUAUAUUUCCAUUAAAUUAACUGCUGUGACUUCAGGAAUACAGUGCUUGAGUGUGUGUCUGUCUACUCAAAAGAAAAAAAAGAUGCUGUAAAUUAGACAAUUGGACAUUAUGGUAUCUUUAUGUAAUUCUUUUCUAAGGCAAUAUUGAAAUACAGAAAAGAAAGAGGAGCUUGCUUUGUUUUGACAUCUGUUCAACAGCAGAUUUCUUCUUGUUGUUUUAUGUCCAGUAGAAAAUGGGUUGAAGUUCAACAAGAAUGAGUGCCGGGUCCUACACUUCAGUCACAAGAACUCCAGGCAGUGCUACAGGCUUGGAGCAGAAUGGAUGGAAAGCUGAACUGAGGAAAAGUAUCUGGGAGUAUUGGACUGAACAAACUUGCCUGAAUGUGAGACAGCAGUGUGGCCAAGAAAAUCAACGGCAUCUUGGCUUGCAUCAGAAAUAGUGUAGCCAGCAGGAGCAGCGAGGUGAUUGCCCCUCUGUACUCAGCUUUGCUGUCCAGAGACCUCCAUGGGGGAAGGGAAAUUCUGAGACCAAGGAACAUGCUUGUAUUUUGGCAAAGACUUCUCGAUCGUCCUUGCAUUCCACAGCGAUCUAUGGGACAAAAGGAGUGUUGGGAAUUACUUGUGAGUUGAGUGUUAUGUGUGAAAAUACAACCUGUUGACGAACGAUCAUCUGAUGCAGCAUUCCUGGAGAGUUAUCUCGGGGCUGCCUGUAAAGUAUACCUUGUUUAACAGUAACAAAAUUUUACUGUGGUCUUUAGAUAUUGCGGAUGAUAAUUGUGAUGUAGUAUUGAAGAUGAGGAGACGCUGUAAAGCUGGUCUGCAUUAACAAGGCAAAAGAAAUUACAACGGAAUGCCUAGAAUGUGACAGACAGCAUCAGGAUGUUCCCCUUUGUCUUCCUUACCUGUGUGUACAGAGACUUCUCGAUCGUCCUUGCAUUCCACAGCAAUCUAUGAGAUAAAAGGAGUGUUGGGAGGAAGUAAACGACCACCCCAAGGAACAAUGGACCGACUGUAGACCAUCACGGCGCUGGAAGGCUAUAUGACAUUAAGCUCACCAAAUAAGGCUGCGUGUUUUGGGCAGUCAUUAGGGGUAAUGAAUUUGGGAAUGUAAUGAAUAUGUAAUACAUGUGAAAAUACAACCUGUUCACAGACGGUCAUCUGGUGGAGCGUUCGUGGAAAGUUAUCUCGAUGCUCCCCCUGGAACUGUCAAAAAAUAAUAUCUUGCGUAACGGUAACAAAACUUUGCUGUUAAGUUUCUACUCACCGAUUUCUCUAAAUCAGCUGGAACCAUUUAUUUGUUUGUUUGUUUGUUUGUUUGUUUUCCC
ensembl:lncRNA